GAAGAAAGCAGCGUACUUCGUGUGAGCCAAAGGAAUCCAAAUCAUAGAGUGGUGCAGCCCUAGGCAAUGGCCACUUUCUCUCAUUCGUCUGCGAAGAAACGUGGCGAGGGCUGAGGAAGAAGAAAGGUGGAGAGGACUGGGCCUCCUCCCCCAAUCCUGGCCACCAUUAAUAGCAGAGGAAACUGAGAUCGUAAGCUAGCGAUAAGUUCUACUUCCCUCUUCUGUCUGAUCGUUUGUGUGUAGCGCUUUAUUUG
rnacentral:lncRNA from 1 species